rnacentral:rRNA from 1 species
UACGUAGGGUGCGAGCGUUGUCCGGAAUUAUUGGGCGUAAAGGGCUCGUAGGCGGUUUGUCGCGUCGGGAGUGAAAACACCGGGCUUAACUCGGUGCUUGCUUUCGAUACGGGCAGACUAGAGGUAUGCAGGGGAGAACGGAAUUCCUGGUGUAGCGGUGGAAUGCGCAGAUAUCAGGAGGAACACCAGCGGCGAAGGCGGCGCUCUGGGCCGGUACUGACGCUGAGGAGCGAAAGCGUGGGGAGCAAACAGG